AACGAACGCUGGCGGCAGGCUUAACACAUGCAAGUCGAACGGGUGUAGCAAUACAUCGGUGGCAGACGGGUGAGUAACACGUGGGAACCUUCCUAGGGGUACGGAACAACUCAGGGAAACUUGAGCUAAUACCGCAUACGUCCGUGAGGAGAAAGAUUUAUCGCCCUUAGACGGGCCCGCGUCGGAUUAGCUAGUUGGUGGGGUAACGGCCUACCAAGGCGACGAUCCGUAGCUGAUCUUAGAGGAUGAUCAGCCACACUGGGACUGAGACACGGCCCAGACUCCUACGGGAGGCAGCAGUGGGGAAUCUUGGACAAUGGGCGCAAGCCUGAUCCAGCCAUGCCGCGUGAGUGAAGAAGGUCUUCGGAUUGUAAAGCUCUUUUGCCAGGGACGAUAAUGACGGUACCUGGAGAAUAAGCCCCGGCAAACUUCGUGCCAGCCGCCGCCGUAACAC
rnacentral:rRNA from 1 species